UUUCCUUAUGCCAUAUUGUUCUUAUUUUAUGAGGGCCUCAAGUAAUUCAAAUGGAAACUAAAUUUGUAUUCCUUUUAAAUGAAAAGGUUUAUGCAGAUAACUGCACUGCAUUUAAAAGAGGGACGAAAGAUACCAAAGGGACAGUCAAACUCAUAAAUCUAAAACAAACUGACAACACCAUGGCUAAAAAUGAAAAAGACAAACAAACAACAGCACACACGACACAACAUAGAAAACUAAAGAAUAAACAACACGAACCCCACCAAAAAACUAGGGGUGAUCUCAGGUGCUCCGGAAGGGUAAGCAAAUCCUGCUCCACAUGCGGCACCCG
rnacentral:lncRNA from 1 species